UUCCUAUUUUCUCACUUGGAAUCUGUUUUGGGAACUUGGAAUUGCUAUCUCACUGAAUCAGUAACAUCUGUGACUGCAGGGCAGCCCGAGUGGGAAUGGUUAGGGGGUUAGGCAGAUUUCCUGCAUUUCAAGGCUCUUUUCCUCUGAAGAGACUGCUUUGGGACAAUCCAAUUGCAUUUAAUGCUGCUUCUUUCCUUUUCCUUUUUUUUUUUGUUGUUGUUUUAACCCCAUCUUUUCUCCCUUUUUUUUUUUCCUCUCCCCAGCCCCACCCAAGUUGUUUGGGUUUAAGAAGUAAAAAUGAUUUUAAGGAUGCAUGCCAGCAUUUUGAAAAGUUUCUGUUUCAAACACAUGAAAAGAAAAGUCUGAAGGGAUUCCUAGAACUGUAUUGCAGCUUGCAGCAUGUUCCUCUCCAUGAGGAGUGACCUUAGCCUGUCUGUGUGCCAGGGGAGCGAUCUCCAUCUGUUGAACACUUGUCACAUGAACCAGUGACCUACACCGAUGUAACACCCUACAACACCUGCGAGCUGCUCAACCGUGGCCGCCCCGGCCGCUGAGAGACAUGGAGCAAGAAGCACCCGCGACAGCUUGGAAGAAACUGGGUCACUUUUUUUAUGUACCUUAAAGACAAAAUAUGAAGCAAAAUUCCUCCUGGUAGCUGUGAAGCUGGAAGCAAUUUCGAGCCUUUUUUUUAAACAGAAAGGCUGCUCUUGCCUUAGUUCACAGAAAUUAACACUGAAACAUUAGCCUGUCAUCCACCGAGUGCUUUAACUGCAUAGAAGAAGGCACCUGGACUCAAAAGAUCGAAGCUCUGCUCGCUUUUCUCAAGUUGGAUAUUCUGCUGUUUCUGGUGUGUCUUGAACAUGUAGAAGCAGCAGAACUUGUCUCGGGGAAUAAAGGCAUCACCACGGGAAGGGGACAGAUGGUACAUGUUCCUGAGACCCAGCGACGGAUUGAUGCUCCUAAGGAGAGCUGUUCCCACAGGUGGAAGCGCUUUUAAAUGAGCUGGUGGCACAGAAAGUUGGGGAAGGAAGGAACGCCUCGGAAGUUUGAUUGCCAUUUCUUGUCUGGCAAAGUCAAGUAUAUUGAUGAUGGCUGACUGUUUUUGGAAGAAGACAAUGUGAGGCUGAGAGCUUACAGGUUUACUGGACUGGACACUAUCGUAGAAAUACUUGUUCCUCACAUACAGAUGAGGAAGCUGGAGUCAAGUAUUGCUCACUUUGGACAAAUGCCUCUGGAAGUCCCCAAAUUGCUUUGCACAUCUAACAGAUUGGACAGAAGCAGCUCAGCUUCCACAAACAGCAGCGUUGGGCUGGGUACGGUCUGCCUGCAUGGAUCAUGUCUUUGGAGACAUUUGUUUACUGCUUUAGGCCACUUUAGUGGCAGAGGAGAAGGGGUGUUUACCUGAGUAUCUGCAAAAUGUAAGCAGAAGGAAAGGUGACUAAUUUUAAAUCAAGCAGUAUACGUUCAUAUAAGCUUAUUUUUGGAUUUCAAACCUUUUGUUAUAAAUACAUUGCAUAGAUUAUUAACAAAGACUUAUUUUUUUUGCGUUUGCAUCUAGGUUUGUUCAGCAUCUUGGAGAUUUCUUUUGAGAACAGUGGUAAAGCCUUAGAACAAAACGGAUGUGAAGCAGGUUUUGGGGUCAUGAAACAAGUACAGACUUCUUAGACAGAAUAGAUUUUUCCAGCCAUCCAAGUAGUUACAUUCACAUAAGAAUUGUUUAAAGACAAUAUUUUCUAAGGGUGUUUAUAUCCAGAUGAUGUUAGAGAAACAUGUACAAUGAAGACUAACUGAAAAUAAAGAUCAGAACUUCUUCACCCUUUCUAGGUUUCUUACAGGAAUGGUAAUUCUCUCUGCAAUAACGUACAGCACUGUUUCAUGGGAUUGGCAAUGCUUAAAUCUGAACUCAUUCAAAAUGAACACUCAAAAAUACUGUACAGUUGGGAUUUUCUUAACCCCAUGUAUAUCACUGUGGAUUUCCCCCAUGCUAUACAGGCUGAAAUUUUUCAAAUCAAAACCGUCUUCAGUAAGGACUCCCGUGGUGCAUAUCUUCCUUGCAAAGGGCAGAGAAGCAGUGACAGGUGGGAAAUAUAGUCUUGAGAGGCAAUUUUUCCUAGGAGAAAUACUUUUAUUUCAGGAUGAAAUAUUUCAACUUCAAAUGUCUUAACUUCUUUCAAGUUCUUUCUCUACAGGAUUGCUCACCUAGUGCUAACACUGGUCAGGUUUGCCAGAAGCCCUGUGCACGUGCUUGAAGGUACACACACUUCCAAUGACUCUCUGUAGGGCACUGAUGUACACAGAUAUCUUCAUACUUCAGUUCAUAUUUACACAUGUAUUACCACCUCCUCCUUUUAGUAGGGAUGGUUAUCUAGAACUGCUAAUUGUCGUAAACAAAGGGUCAACAAAGGGUGGUCCAUUAGAAAUGCUUUCGCAGGAAAUGAGACGUAACUUCUUUAAAUGUGAAAUAAAGCUCUUUGUAAAUUGUUUCCUUUAGUUAACCAAACCAAACUACAUUACCUAGUAACAGAGCCUGCCAUCCAGAGGCAAAAGAAAUAUGUGGCAUGAAGACUAACUGUGAAGAUUUCCUGGCUAUCGGUCUAUAUGAUACCAGUACCAACCCCAUCACCCAAGAUGGGUGACAACCCCAUUCUGUUAGAAAUUACCAGUAAGAAACAGCCCAUUUCAAUCAAGAGUGACAGCAGAUAAUGGCUGUUUGAGAUCUAAUUAAUGAUUCUCUAGACAAGUGGUAAGGCCUUGCCAGCUGCACCUAAGCUGUACCGGUGUACUGGCCAAUGCUGUGCUGCUGGGCAGGAGCUGGAUGUUGUGGUUUUCUGGUGUCUGGGCUUGUCAUACCUCUCUGUGAUCAGCAGUCUGAAAUGCCUUCUGUGACUAGGUGAUAUCAAUAGGAAUUAGUGGUCUAAUGCUGUUCAUUGAUAGUUAUAGAGAUAGAGAGUACCUGAGAUUGCCUGCCUGAACUUAUAAAUGCAUGUCAUUUAUAAAAAGUAGGGGGCUUAGCUAACAUUUCCUUGCCUGCUAACUGUAUCUUCAUCAGAAUCAGCUACGGCCACUCCUGCAUACAGACAAGAUCACUGCUGUGAAUUUUGAAAACCCUGUGGGCUGUGAUCCCCGUGGAGGGUGUAUGCACCUUUCCCACUCAGAAUUCAGGUUGCGUACGGCUUUUGAAGUUUUCAAGGGCUUAUCAUUCAUGCCAUGUCUUCCUAUGUGUAACUGGCAUUACUAAUAAAAAACAGGGGCCCAAAUCUGGCAAAUUAGUUAUUGGAUUGCUCCAUUCAUCUGUGCUAACCUAUGUAUCGCCCUUCUUUGUACAGUUGUUCAAGAGGUUAAUGGAUAAUCCUGCCCCUGUGAAUAGGAAUGUUGCCAGCAACAACAACUGGGACAAGAUUAUUGACUGUCUGAGGCAAAGCUUAGAAGAUAAUUGUUGUGUUUAAAUGCUAAUUCUAUAGUAUUAUCCCAGUAACUUGUUGAUGCAUCUAAGAGUUGCUUGAUGUCUAUCUAUACACACCUACACAUGUGCACACACUUGCCUGUGGGAAUUCACAUGCUUCUGCUGAUAUGUAUGCAAAAGAUUCGCUGUGUUUUCUUAUUUGUAAACAAAAAAUGAUUGGAUUUACGUCCUGAUAAAGGGAGCCAUUCCAAACACACCACCAAUUUAUGACUAUGUUCAUCUUGCAAGCUGAUCAGUUCAUCCUUGUGCACUUGCAGCCACGGUUCAAGAUGCAGAAGAUGCAGAAAUGCCACAGGACGAGCUAGGGCUGCAUGUUACCAACCCCCCACUACAGGAAUACUUCACCCAUUGGGAGAAGCAUACGCAGACCAUUACAUCCUUCACUCGGCAGGGUUUGUAUGACAUGAGAAUUGCUACCUGCCACCCAAUGUGUCUCAUGCUGGGAGACAGGACUCUGAAGUACUGGAGCCUGGCUGUCUGCAGUCAGGGCUGCUGUACCACAUCCAAAGCAAGCUCGCCAGUCAGCAAAUGCUGCAUUAAUCUUUUGGGGAGUGUUUGUUUUGCUUGUUUUGCUAGGCUGAGUUUCAAGCAACUGAUAAUGUGUUUGUGAGCAGUUCUCCUGUUGCAGCCCAUUUUUCAAAGGAAGUGUGAAGACCGAUGCUCCCAAGGUUUGGUGGAACAUGGGUGUGAAGGGUUAUAUAUGAUCCUGCUUCGAUGUGUGAGCGUACAAGGCUUUCAAGUGCAUGGUAAUAUGUCUGUGCAGGUACAUCUGCGAUAGUGGAGUUACAGCUCUGUGUGAAGUCUGAUGAGUGUUUUUAAAAAUAUGCCUUGGUCGUGGUUCUUCUCUAUGGGUGCCAAUUCCACUCAUGCAGCUACCUCACUGCAAGUGAGAUGUGCGUUUGCUUGCUCAGUAAUAGUCAAAUUUUCAAACUGCUGAAGGAUAAACUCUGAAACCUUCCGAGAAUUAAAUUAGAUAACCACUUUAUUGCUUAACAGUUUAUGAGUAUAGAAAUGCCUGGAAUUUCAGGAGGAAAAUGACAAUGUAUAUGGCUUGUCGCUACUUGCAGUGUCACUGCUCUGUCCAGCUGCAUUACUGUUGUUAUAGUUCUCAUAGGCACUUAAAAUUACAUCCUUCAAUACAUUUAUGCAUUUAAUUUCUCCAAGCAAAAAGGAAUUUAAAUACCUUUUAGGAUGUGGAAAGUUAGAUAUGAUUCCAGAGCCUCCCAGAUGUGUAGGACCUUAAAAACAAGAAACAUUUUUCAGGACUUUUUUAAGCUUACUCUCCAUUGUUAUUAACCUAAUCUUUCACCUUUUCCCAGUCGCAAUAAAGAUGAUUUCAAAGGCAGAAAUGAGAAAAAAUGUAUUCUUUCAAAUCUACCAGUUUGGGGGCCUGUUGCACACAUUUUUCUGUUUCUUUGUGGUUUUAAAUUACAUUUCUGCUCUGAAGUCAAAUCAUCCGUUAACAUGUUGGUCUGGAAGGCCCCAAAGCUGCUGCAGACCUGGCAUGCAGCAAGCAGGCUGGCUAAAUGGGGAAAGCUGUCGCUCAUCCUCGCCUGCUGCAGACACAAGUGCUGUGAGAAUUCCCCUGGUGCAGGAAAGUGUUGUGGUAUCAGACUCAACAUUUAUUGGUGUAGUAACAGGAGAGUUCCUUCACGCUCAAAUUAACAUUAUAAAACUCCCCUUCCCCAAAUCAGCUGCUUAAAUUGGAUUUAAGGGAGGGUUUCACGUCUUGUAUUUUUCUGUGUACCUCCUUGUGAAGAGUAAUGCCAAUCCUUAUGCUCAGUCUUCAACAGUACUAUGUGUGAUAGGGUUGGGCUGCGUAGGACAGUUGUGUCCUAUCACGUAGGGUGCUGUACAGACUGCUGCUAAUGAUAACGGGGAUGCUGUCCAGCUCUUUGUAGUGAAAGGUCCCCAAUAUGGACAGACCACAGCGUGAGGAAUGUAAUAUCAGAUGUGUUAAGGUGUGGGAUGCAAUCCAGUGCCUACAAAAUAAAAGCACGAUUCCUCUUGCAGAACUUAUCCUCAUAAUUUUCCUGAGCAAGCUUUGAUUCUUUUGUGUGUAUUCUAGAAAAAACAACAGGAGUGCUUUGGAAAAACAAAAGACUUUCAUAUGCUCUGGAAUUUCUGCAGUGAGAGUGUGCAGACUUGAGGCUAGUUACUGAGAACAGUCCAAUGUAUAGCUGAGGGUGAAAAAAUAGCCAUGUCACUUCUUUGGAACCUGAUCUGAAGUUCACUGAAGUGAAUGAAAAGGCUCCUGUUGGUUUUAAGUGGAUCCAGCCUUUACACAGUGAACAGAAGACAUGUGUCUUAUCUGCUUAAAUGUGAAAAUGUUAUUGGUAAUUUAUGUUGAUAGAAAGAGCACAUAGUAACUUUCUUCCUGCAUUUAUAUAACAGGAGGAAAAAGCUUCAAGUGCACAGUAAAAAAACAUCAAGGAUGCAGUUGCUUAUGGCCAGCACGAUGACUGUGACACAACCGAGGAUUAGGCUGUUUUAAGAAUAUUUGAUGGAAGGUAAAACAUUAGACACAGGUUUCCCAUUACCAUCCUGCCUAAAGAUGACAGCUCACCACUCUUGGUGAGACGUGUCAUCGCCAAGCUUGCAGAAGGGGAGAUGGUUCUUACUGAAACACUUGUGCGAUGUCUUCUGAUUUUGGUUCAAGUGACACAGCAUUCAAAAGAUUUGAAGGCCAUGCAGAAGAAUAUUGCAGAGCAGGAAAGUGUGCAGGGAUGGCUGAAGCCACUCAUCAGUAACAAAAAUAACAUGAUGCUUCAUAUGUGUAGGUCCUGCUUUACUUUAAUAAUUUGAUUAAAAUAACAGACUUGCUGUGGAUUUUCACCAGUAUUAAAUCAGGUGAGAGUAAAAGAAAAAAAAAAAAAAAAGCUUUUUCUUUUCUUUAGGUAUGCUGACUCAAUUUGUUUGUUUCUUGGGAAUGCUGAAACAAACAAACAAAAUGAAUAGAAAUGUCAAGACACUGGAUGAAACCAACAUCAAAAGAGAAUUCUUUUGAACUGAUGAGCUGACAGCUGAAACGGUAGCAGCAGGGCAGCAUCAGUCGGCAGUCAGAUACUGUAUGCUGGAUCUCCACAUUUUUUAGCCAUCUUUGAGACUGAUGCCUUGCAUUACAUGAUCAGAAAACCAAUUGCAGGAGGAAGUCCCUGGAACUACACCACUUGUUGUCAAAGAAACUUGCACCGUCACAAGGCAUCACCUCCGCUUUCCAGACACCGAGUCUCCAGACAAUUAACUCACGUCUGCUGUUACUACGUUGUUUCUCUCACACUUCUCCUGGAUAUGUAUGAAACUGUCGAGCUGAAUUACACUUUAUAAGGUGAUAGGGAAAAGAUCUAACAUCUAUUUUUCCCUCUUGCAGAUUUUAUAGUGUGGGGGACGCUAAUUUUUACAGCCUAAAACCAACCAAACAAAAGAAGUUCUGCUGCUCCUGAACUGACAUCUUCCAGGUACCAGCAUGAUGAUUCAGAAACCCUUGAAGAUAUAGUCAUAUUUUCAGCAACAGAUGGAUUUAACACUGCAGAUGGAGUGUUAAGAGUGCAGACUAUGGGGGUGAGUGCGAGCCCCAGAGCCGUGGCAGGGAUCACAGGCAGGGCUGGGUGUCCAAGCCAGGACCACCUCCGAGCUCUCCCUGCACCAUGUGCCGAAGGUGGUGGCAUGGAGCUGACUGAUGUACGUGACUGCACAGCUCCAGCAUGGGGGUGAUACAAAGGACAAGAGUCGUGGUGGAUCAAUUGUCCCAACUGGAUGCGAUCUGAAGACCUGUGUACAUACCGAGCACCGUCCUUUCCUGGGCACCUUCAGUCCAUCUCUGAUGGAGGGACAAGAGCAGCGAAUAGUUUGUCUUGGUGAAGCUCUUCAUCCACCUCUACAGCCUUGUGCUGCUCUCCCAGUUUAUGAUCUGAAUCAUGCUUCCCUGCCCAUUGAUAACCAGUGGCCCAAGACUCAUGUGGGAUUUGCUCAAGAGUUCCCGUUCAGAGAUGCGUGCUGGCAAGUUGCAAUACCACUGAGAACGGGAGGUCCGGAGCUGCAGCAGGAGUAAGGAACUUGGAAAAUGCAACUGGUGCGGAAGAGCGAACAAGAUGUGUUUGUGGUGGAUGGGGGAUCUUAAGCAUGUAUGCACUUGAAAUAUCUGAAUGUUUCUGAUGAAGAAGACCCCAAGGACCCUAACCUCAUGUCAAAGACAAACCCUCAGUAUGCCUUUCUAGAGAAUGCUCUUCCUUCAGCUGGAUACAAGGAAAUCAAUUCUAAGAUUGAUGACGGAUGCCACCGUACAUGCAUGAUGACACAGAAAGCCUAGAGGAUAGUUUUACCGUGCAGCUGACAGAUGGCAAGUGCACAGUCCAAGGGACACUUUACAUCUACAUCACGCCAGUCAACGAUGAAAUCCCUCAUCUUUCCAGGUCCUCUCUUCUGCUAUCCUCCUUGAUCUCUGAUCACUUUUGGAAAUGGUCUGAAAAGGAGUCCCUGUUCACUGAGAUCUCAUAAAAAUUUAGACUCCUUCAAAGAUGCAACCCAAAAGUAAGAGCCCUCAACUUCUCCAACACGGCGUAAAUGAUUUGUCCAAUGCCAGCUGCUCCACGCUGGUGACAUUGUUCUACUCGCCAAACCUGUAACUUUAACAGAGGGUGACAGGGUGACCUUGACGACAGAUGUUCCUGUGGCAACAGAUGGCACUAGCAAACCCGAGAAGCUGCUGUACGCCGUCUCCGUGCCACCUGUGCAUGGUCAGAUUGAGCACAUCAAUUAUCCCGGCGUGCCCAUUUCCAGAUACAGCCAGUUGGGUGGGGUGGCCCAGAAGGUCCCCUCCAUCCAUGACAAUAGCCACGAGGCCAGGAAGGAGGCACUCAGGUGAGAAGACCUCCCCUUUGCACACCAGCGUGCUUGAAAGCCCUCGGCGAGCUAAGGGUUAAGCUUGCAUCUCUCGUGUGGUAUUUAACAACCAAUAUGGUUGUGCAAAAGAGACUGCUGCAAACAGGAACACGAUGUAAUUUUACCAUUACAGUAAUUACAUACUUUAUUAACUGUAAUAGUGAAGUUGUACGGCCAAAGGCGAUGGGAGUCUUGCAGGCUUAGUACAGGGGUGUAUCCAGGUAGGCUUUCGUGAUCGAUUAGCAAGUGAAAUCAAACAGUUUAGGUUCAUAUAAAGAGUUCGCUGUGCUUCUCAAGGUUGCCAGCAGUGGAAAAGGAAAAAGCAAAAAAUACCCAUCUGCAACUGUGGUUGCUUUCUGGGCAGUUCUUUCUCCUGAAGGGGAAAAAAAAUAAUAAUCGUAACAUUGUCUGAAAUGAUCAGGAGAACUUAAUCCAGAUGGUGGUGUCAUUUCUAAGAAAAAGCAUAUGUUGGCCAUUAUGAUACUUAAAUAUAAUGGUUUUACAUUCCUCUAGUGGGCACAAAAGGCACACAACAGAGUUGGCGGGGUUUUUUAAUCUUCUGAAUGGUGGCAGUGGUGGUGGAGUGGUGGGAGAUUUUAUCUUCCAAAUGGUGCGUUUCCCAGAAGAUAUGGCAAAUUCAAUUGCCGAGAGCCUGCUGUAAAAGCCGUGCUCCCGUGGAAUGUAAAUUCGUGCAUUACUCUAUCCAGCAACAGUGGAGAGGCUUAAUUUACUGCCCCCUUUGGAUUAUCAUUAUUUUAUACAUAUUCUUCCGGCUUCUUCUUUUAUUUUUCCCCUUUAUUUUUUAUUUUUUUUUGCUUUAACAUGUUUUUCUUUCUGAUUUGCUUUAAAAGUUAUUUACGCUCCCUUUGCAGCAAAGUGGGCACUAUAACUAAUUUUAUUCUUACCAUGAUUAACUAUGAAUAAUUUCCUAAGAAAUGAGUCAAAUUAACAAGGGGAAGAAGGAAUCAAUAAAUCAUGAAAGCAGACUAUUUCUAAGUGGGGUUAAAACCACCAUUAAAUAAAUCACAGACUCUAAAUGAUGACCCACUUGGAUAUGGGGAUGGGGGAAGGGAAAUGUCCAUUUAAAUUGCAGUGAAAGGAAAAAUGAGAA